UACGGAGGGUGCGAGCGUUGUCCGGAAUCACUGGGCGUAAAGGGUGCGUAGGUGGCCAGGUAAGUUCGGUGUGAAAGCUCGGAGCUUAACUCCGAAAUGUCAUUGAAUACUAUCUGGCUAGAGGGUCGGAGGGGAGACUGGAAUUCUCGGUGUAGCAGUGAAAUGCGUAGAUAUCGAGAGGAACACCAGUGGCGAAGGCGAGUCUCUGGACGACACCUGACACUGAGGCACGAAAGCUAGGGGAGCAAACAGG
rnacentral:rRNA from 1 species